GACGAACGCUGGCGGCGUGCUUAACACAUGCAAGUCGUACGGUAAGGCCCUUUCGGGGGUACACGAGUGGCGAACGGGUGAGUAACACGUGAGUAACCUGCCCACAACUUUGGGAUAACGCUAGGAAACUGGUGCUAAUACUGGAUAUGUGCUCCUGCUGCAUGGUGGGGGUUGGAAAGCUCCGGCGGUUGUGGAUGGACUCGCGGCCUAUCAGCUUGUUGGUGGGGUAGUGGCUUACCAAGGCGGCGACGGGUAGCCGGCCUGAGAGGGUGACCGGCCACAUUGGGACUGAGAUACGGCCCAGACUCCUACGGGAGGCAGCAGUGGGGAAUAUUGCACAAUGGGCGCAAGCCUGAUGCAGCAACGCCGCGUGCGGGAUGACGGCCUUCGGGUUGUAAACCGCUUUCAGCAGGGACGAAGCUUUUUGUGACGGUACCUGCAGAAGAAGCACCGGCUAACUACGUG
rnacentral:rRNA from 1 species